UCCUGGGCUGGUAUCCAGACUGAAGAAAACAGGCUUGGUGUCAGGCUCUGGGGGCUGCUGCAGGAGGGGUGGGAGGGAACAUAAUAAACCACAGUCCUUCCUCCCUGGUCCUCAAAAUGUCAAAUGCAACUGUUUCUCUUUGCUGUUCUGCACCACAUGCAUGAUACUACUCGGGAAUGUGAGCAGCCAGAGCACAUCAGUCACGUCUGCGUGGCCCGUCUGCCUUGCGGCGAUGCAUCAUGCUGCGGAAGUGUGAAGUCUAUCCACCAAGAGGAGCUCAAAUAUAUACUGCAAGAAGGUAGAAUGUGGAAAAAUACUCCAGGUUUUACAAAGGAAGUCAGCCAACAGCACAAACUGGAACUGCUCCACUAUUUGAAGAGUUUUUGUUUGUAUCUUUGACUGGUGGCUUUUUUGCAACUGAAUAAACAAACAAACAAAAAAAAAAAACCAAAAUCCAUUAAUAAACAAUGCAACAAGCAGCA
ensembl:lncRNA